UUGGGUGCACUGCUAUCAUUUUCUUGCAACCUUCUACAUUUUUUCUUACUAAUAAACUUGAUUUCUUCAGAUGUGUGCUGUCAUGGAGCACUUUCCAGAUGAUCAACAAAGAUCCAGCCAUGGUGUCCUGACAUUUAACCAGGGAUAGGCAUAAGGAUGCACACAUGACUCCAAGCUGGUCAACUGUAUCCAAGAAGAACCUGUCUAGGGACUUCCGAGCAACAGUUUUCUCUUGCCAAAAAGCAAACCAUACAAGAGGGAGCCUUUUCCACCUUGAAGCGUUGGGUAUUUGGACAUGAGGAUAUACUUUUUGGAGCUGUUAAAGACUUCUCUUGACCAUGACAGGGAGCCAAGACUAUCUGCUUCUGAACAACUGAGUUGCAGUAUCUUCCUUGAAAUGAACAGCCUCUGGAAUAUGUGAGAGAUUGGACAAAUCAGCCACAGUUGUUGAAGCCACUGCAUCCAGACACUGGCAAGGAAAAGGAUCCCAACUAAUGUGCUCCUACUUCGCAGCAACCGUUAGCUGUAAGCAUCUCUUCAGCAAGACGUAGGGCCUUAUGAGUCUCCUCGGUCUCCAUGAUGGAUUGUGAACAGACCCAGUCCCAUGCAGGUCUUGUGCAGGGAAUCCCCACUGCUGUGACCUCGUGAGCACAAUGGUAAUGACAGAUCCAGGAGACAUCACUUCGCAGCACCCCACCCUUUAACUCCUAUCGUCUUUCUGCUCCAUCUUCUGCAAUGUUUUCUGAGCCUUGGAAGGACAGUAGUUCAUAGUCAACAAACUCAAUUUUCCUCCCGGAGACCUGGCGACAUGGUAUGACACUCAGAGCUGCUGCACAAAUGUGUAUCCUCUGUCACCAAUGGAACCAGACUGGAGGGUGUAGAUAGCCGCAAUUACUGCCAUGAAGACAGCUGGAAGCACAGUCCCGCUGACAAGGGUGUGGACACAGCGGGCAAUACAUACUCCGUGCCCACGCUCUGAGGUAUGUUUUCAAGUUGGGCUUUGCAGGAGGUCCAUGCCACACACAGACUGUGCAUACAAGUAGAAGGUCCCCCCAUGUCCCAUUUCUCCCUGGGGCAACCCCUUCCUGCUUA